rnacentral:lncRNA from 10 species
GCUGCUUGUCCCGUACCUUGGCUGGGUGGGUAGGUCUUGGAGCCUGCCAUCCAAAACCACCCCUGGGAAGCGCCCGCAACCCUUGGGGACGCCUCUCCUCCGGCUGCCCCCCUUCCCUGGAAUCCAGGUGUCACUGGGGCCGGGGAGGGGCUAGGAGCUCGGAUUUCUGCUUUGGGAAGUUUUUACAAGCCCACCCUCCCCCUGCCUUGGGUCCCGAGCCAAGAAUUUCAGAAAUCCGGGGCACAAAAACGCCAGUGUUUGCGGUCAAGGAUUAAAGGCGCGAGGUUGUCUUUAUUUAAUCUGCUCCGCCCUGCUCGGGUUUGCACGAAAAACCAAGCCUGGGAGCGACGGUCCACGCAAGCGGAGACACAGAUCCAACCCCAAGCCAUUUGGAGCGUUGCAAUACGCCACCACCAUUGUGUGAGGUGCCACCACCAGACUGCAGAGGUUCAAGACCCACAUUCAAACCACAGUUUACCACACCACCUACUAGACUUCUGACUUGGGCAAGUCAUUUAAACUCUCUGAGCCUCACUCCCCUCAUCUGUCCACCUGGCAUCAUGAUAGAACUUCCUUCACAGGAUUGUUGAAAGAACCACAUGAAAUCUAAGCGCUCAGCACAUAGUAAGUACCAAUAAAUGAGAACUAUUAUUAAUUAAUACUACAGUCUAUUUUUAUUAAUGUGUUUUUACUCCGUGCAAGCAAAGAUACUUAAUUAAAUAGCUGGUUAUACAAAGUUAUUCACAAUGUGAAGUCUUUU